CGAACGUUGGCGGUGUGGAUUAGGCAUGCAAGUCGUGCGCGAAAGCCUUCGGGCGAGUAAAGCGGCGAACGGGUGAGUAACACGUAAUCAACCUGCCUCUGAGACCGGAAUAACCACUGGAAACGGUGGGUAAUGCCGGAUGGUCCCCACGGAAGGGUUCUUCUGUGUGGUAAACGGUGACUUGUCACUGCUCGGAGAGGGGAUUGCGGCCUAUCAGCUUGUUGGUGAGGUAACGGCUCACCAAGGCGAUGACGGGUAGCCGGUCUGAGAGGACGAUCGGUCACACUGGGACUGAGAUACUGCCCAGACUCCUACGGGAGGCUGCAGUCGAGAAUCUUCCGCAAUGGGCGAAAGCCUGACGGAGCGACACCGCGUGCAGGAUGAAGGCCUUCGGGUUGUAAACUGCUGUCACGCUAUAGGAACCGCGUGUAGGUAACUGCACGUCUGACCAAAGCGAGAGGAAGCACCGGCUAACUCCGUGCCAGCAGCCGCGGUAGG
rnacentral:rRNA from 1 species